GUGAGGGAGCUGCACGCUCGUCAUGCAGGGCUUUCAGCGGGGCUCCCGGCUGCUGGCCGCCGUGCUGCGGACCCCCUGGGGCCCCCGGGCACACAUCACCUCCAAGCCACCUAAACAUCCACUCUCUGCUGCCGACCAGGCCAUCGCCUUCUCCGUGAUGACUGCGUGCUGCCUGCUGCCGGCAGCCUGGAUCCUGUCACACCUGGAGCACUACAAGAGCAGAUCAGAUUAGGCAGCGGGAAGAACCACCUGCACCCCGUCGAGAGCAGAAGUAUGAGUGAAGAUCUGACCACGGAUCUUCACCGGGAAGGAACCCCCUGAGUUUGUUCAUUAAAAUUCUCACUGGCAUUCAGC